rnacentral:rRNA from 1 species
UACGUAGGGGGCAAGCGUUGUCCGGAUUUAUUGGGCGUAAAGGGCGCGUAGGCGGCCAGUGCAAGUCAGUUGUGAAAUCUCCGAGCUUAACUUGGAAAGGUCAACUGAUACUGCUCGGCUAGAGUGCGGAAGGGGCAACUGGAAUUCUUGGUGUAGCGGUGAAAUGCGUAGAUAUCAAGAGGAACACCUGCGGCGAAGGCGGGUUGCUGGGCCGACACUGACGCUGAUGCGCGAAAGCUAGGGGAGCGAACGGG